rnacentral:rRNA from 1 species
UACAGAGGGUGCAAGCGUUAAUCGGAAUUAUUGGGCGUAAAGCGCAUGUAGGUGGAUAAAUAAGUUUGAUGUGAAAGCCCUGGGCUUAACCUGGGAAUGGCGUUGAAUACUAUUAAUCUAGAGUCGGACAGAGGGCCGUGGAAUUUCCGGUGUAGCGGUGAAAUGCGUAGAUAUCGUAAGGAAGACCAGUGGCGAAGGCGGGUCUCUGGACAGUUCCUGACGCUGAGGCACGAAGGCCAGGGGAGCAAACGGG